CUGACUUGCUUUUCGGUGUUCUGUUGAGAGAAAAUUUAGAAGCCAAGUUGUGCUAUAGGACAUAGAUAUAAUAUGCCAAGGAGCUAAAAAGGCGCUUGUUUUAUGAGUGCUCAGGCUCUGGUCUGACUUGUGCGGGCAAAGUUGAAAAAUGGUCGUAUGAGCCGAGUCACAAGGAACAAAGGAGUUCUUCAAUGAACUGAGGGAGCAUUCGACAUGUAUCGUGUAUGUGUACACGCACAUUUAGAUGGAAUGUGCUUAUGUUCUAGGGAAACAUUGUUUGUGCUUUAUUUGAUAUCAAAGAAAUAUUGGCAGG